AAAAAAAAAUUAUAUUUUUAGUUUGAAGUAAGUAUCAAUUAUAUGUAACAAAAUUAACUAAUAAAAUAUGAAGAAUCAAGUCCGAGAUUUUAGAGUUAUGUUAAAAAAAUAUAAUUAUGUAUAGAACGUAAAUUAUCUUAGUUUAAAAGAUUGGAAUCUCAUCUCGAAUAAAUUAACGAAAAGAAAAAGUACUCCAAUAACCUACUUAAAAUAUAAAACCCCCUUUUCAAAAAAAAAAAGCGUACUUAAUAAAAUUUUUUUACGUGUAAUAGUUAAAAACUGACUAUUGAAUAUCAAUGUAGAAUAUUAUUUUAAUAUAUCUAAUGGUAAAAUAUUAAUUAUAAUAAAAAAAUUUUGAAUUUUAUAAUAUUACAUGAAUUAGACGUCUUUAAAAUCUAAAAUCUAUUUUAUUAACAUAAUAUGUUUUUUAUUCAUUUAUUAUUUUGACGUUACAAAAUAUUGCUUUAGUUUUAUUUGUAUAUUAAAGUGUAAUAAGGUCAAAGUGUAAUAAUUAAUCAGAGUUAAAUCAUCAAACUUACAUAAACCGUAUUUAGGAUCCAGGUUCGCAAGCUUAGCAUAUCCAAUAUCCUAAAAUCAUCAAAGAAAAUACAUGAGAUACAAAGUAAAAAUAUAGGUAUUAAUAAAUAUGAAAAAUAUAUAUUUAUUUUACUUUAUGUUGGGUCAAUUCAAAAUAUAAUUAUUUGAUGAUAUUUUUUUAAAACUCUUAAAUAAAUAUAUAAUUUCAUUAAAAUCUUAUAUUAAUAAUUCUAAUAUAUAACUUUUAUAAGAUUUACAUAAAUAUAAACAAAACAUUAUGUUUUAUAUCUUUUACAAUGAAAUUCAUUCUAACUUUUAUCCUUUUCUCAAUAUUUAAGUUUUAUAUUAUAUUCGUGGAUCACACCCAAAAUUACAUAUAUAAGAUCUCGAUACAAAAAUAAAAAGCAAAGAAUCUGUAUAUAUAAGUAAUUGCUUGAGUUUUAUUAUUAUUAUUGUUGUUUUAUUUUGAAUUUUUUAUAAUACUUUUUAUUAUAUAUAUUUCAUGUAGAAUGUUAUAGUUUUCUGUUUUGAAAGUUGUUUAGUAAUUAAAAAUAAUGAUUAAUUCUAAAGUAUAAUAUCUGAAUUAUGUGAUUGUAAAUUGUUCUUUAAAAAUAAGAUUCGUAUAUUUUUUUUUACUUUCUUUAAGUUUAGUAAGUGUAUUUCGGUAGUUAUUUUUCAUUAAAAAAUUUGAUUUUUUAAUGUUUAAAUAUUUACAAAUAAAUAAAAUACAAAUUGUAAGAAAAGAAUCUACAAAUAAAGUUUUGUGAAACUAUUAUAUAUAAAACAAACAAAUAUAAAUUGAUAUAAUGAUUUAUGACUUGUGAUCACUCUAAAUACUAAAAUUAUGUAAGUACUAAUUUUAUAAGGUUAAGCAAUUUUUAACUUUGUGGAAAAAAGAAGAAGUAAUUUUUAACUUAGAGAAAAAUGAAAUAACAAAGAAGAAAUGAAUUGAAAUAAGAUCUAGUGGGGUGAAAGUUAUAUAUAAAUGUUUGAACAAAUACAAAGAAAAUAUGGUUGAACUUUUUGGGGAAACGUGGUUUAACUUUGAGUUUUUGUUGUACAGUUAUAAAGAAAAACAAAAUUUAUUCCAAUAAAGAGAACAAUAGCUGUAAACAUAUCCUUUAGUUGUACAUCAAUUAAAUGCUCUAAGCUAUUGUUUCUAGUUUUAUUGAAUAUGCACAGUACAAAACAAUUAUUUAGGAUAAAGAAGUUCUAUACUACAAAUCUUUACUCGUUUUACCAGUCCCUCGUCUUUAUAUUAUUAGCUUCCAAGUCAUAGUCACCAUCUCUAUUACAUCUACCAUCAAUUUCUCUCAUGAUCCCGUCUUGCGUUGCCAUAGGAUCCUCCAGUAUCUCGUCUAACUUCUGCAAUGGGCUAAGGCCCCCCUGUAAGAAUUUUUUUUGUAUAUAUGGGUUUCUUGCUAGGUGCCAAAACAACGUUGUACCAAAAUGAUAAAAAGUUGUAAUAUGAAAUAUUAAAGGAUUUGUGGUGUUUUUCAUCUAUCUCCCAUCCAUGGCUUUUCUGUUCAAUGUUUACAAAAUUCGAGUCCUGGCCUAAGACUAAGUACUUCAAGUAUUAGAAGUUCCAACACAAUAUAUUAUUUGUUAUGUUUGGUUUGUUACAAAUUCAGUACUUCUGUUCUGAACAUUCAACUGAGAUAUAUAUAUAUAGCUUUUGCAGCUCUGCUCUCUUUUUCAGAGGUCCACAUUCAUCUUUUUAUAUAGGUUUUGAAUUUUUCAUCAAGCCGUUUCUCUAUUUCAAUCAGGGAUGAUGAAGACAUAUUCCUCCUUGCAUCUAAGUAUCACCAACCCCAAGGUUCCCACUGCUUGUCCAUCCUUGCUGCACCUGAAUAGUGUACAGCUUGGUGAACUGGAAUAUACAUGAUUUAUUCAUUAUCUUAUUUUACUAAAAUUUUAAUUAUAUGUUUCGAUUUAAAUUUUUUUUUAAGAAUGGAUGUAUUUUUUAGACAUUGAUAAAAUUUUCAUUAUAUGUGUUUAUAAAUAUAUUUGAUAAAUUUUAUCUUAAAAAUGAAAAUAUAUAUGUUUUGUUACAUAAUAUGUCUAUAUUAUAUUUUUUCUAUCUAUUAAUUUUCGUUAAUAGCUAAUAGUUAUGUAAAUAAUCAUGUUUCAAUAUAAGGUUUUCUCAAAACCAAUCACUAAAUACAUUAUAUUAUGCAAUAUAAAAACAUGAACUUUAUCCCACAACCAAAUCAUAUCCUUGAUUAUCAGUAAUACAAAA